AUGGCCUCUUUCUUCAAUAGCGGCAGUGUCCUCUUCUUGCUCUUUGUCGUCCUCUUUGCGGCCACUCAGGCUACUCCUGUUGACAAUUUGCUCCCCGUAUGCAAGACCGUCGGCGGCGGCAGUAAAUACGUGGGCAUCCAGUUCUGUCUGGACACCCUCCACUCCGACCCCCGUAGCGCAAACGGUGGAAACUACCAAGAGCUUGCGGUCGUCACAGUCGACCUCCUCACGGCCAACGCCACCCGUACCAAGGCCAAGAUUGAUGGCCUUCUCGGCGAUGGCGACCGCAAGACUGAGGACGCCACCAGGCGGUCCCUCAGGUCGUGCCUGGCUCUUUUUGACGGCAUAUUGCAGAGCCAGCCUGGCUGUGCGGCGGCCGUCAAGGACGGGAAGUUCAGCGAGGCGACCUCGUCCCUGGAGAAAUCGGCGGCCGCAGCGAAGGAGUGCCAGGGUGGCUUCAGCAAGAGCAACGUGGCGUCGCCGGUGACAGUGGAGAACGACAACGCUUUCCAGCUCGCAAAGCUCGCCGUCGCCUUGAUUCGUGUUACCUCAUAG
rnacentral:rRNA from 1 species